rnacentral:ncRNA from 1 species
AAAUAUAGCGCCAGACCUUGAAAAAGGUGACGAGGAAGUGUGUUAUCGAAAAUUCGGCGGAUGCAUACUCGGCUCUACAGUCGUAAUAAAUUGUUUAAAAACAGAGAGAAAUCUUUGAACAGAAGC